rnacentral:lncRNA from 1 species
AUGCACCUCAGGGUCCCAGGGAGCUGGAGAAGCAGUGAUGGCGAGGAGAGCUGGCUGCCAAUAUUCACCGAGCACUUGGUACAAAGAGCUGAAGUUGCCCUCAUACAAAGGCCAGUCCCCUCAACUGAGUCUCAGCCAGUAUUUUGCUGACUUGACUGCCAUUGUGAGCGAUCACGUCACGCUCUUUCUACACCAGCAUCUUGCUAUUUACUAGAACUAUUUAUGGAUUGCUAUGACAUCUCUAUCUAGCAGCUGUAUUUAGCUGCAGUUUCCCAUCUGCUUCUAGCAAGUAAAUCUGAAGAAAAAGAAGAUAGUGUGCCUAAGCUGGAACAGCUCAACAGCCUAGGUGUUAUGACUAAUAUGAAUGUAGUAUUAACAAAACAAAAUUUGCUACAUGUGUAACUCUUAUCAUUAGAAACCUAUCAGUGGAAUGGACCUCCGCCUUCCAACAGCUGCCCAUUUCAUUGAAUUUGUUCUCUCUGAAGUAGUACACAAAACAGAUCUUCACGAUGGCUGGCCAACGAUUUGCCUGGAAAAGAUUAAACACUACACAGCCAAAUAUGCAGAUUUCCUGGAAGUACUGUUGCAAAAUUACCCCUUUCUAAAUUAUGCACUUUCUUCUGUAGCUGCUACAUGUAUGGCUUCUUCGAGGAUUAUACUUCGUCUUUCUCCAACAUGGCCUACAAGACUACAUCAUUACAUCAUCUUACUGCUUACUCCUGGUAUUUCUUAGUGCCGUGUACUGAACAGCUAUUGACUGCUCAUGAUAAUGAUGUGAAAGAAGCAAAGAGAGGACAAGCAGGACCUCAAAUGGCACAACUAAGUGUGUUCUAGACAGUCUCCCAGCCCUCACAGCCAGUUCACUUUCAGCAACCUCAGCAUGUCAAACAGUCACAUAGACCUCACCGCUGUAUCGCCAUCCUACAUCAACCAAGCUGUUGUUAGCAGAUGGUAUCUACUAUGCACGCCUCAUCUUACAAGCUACAGAUGUGUCCUCCUGGCUUCCAAACUAGUGUUCAGGGCCUUGGGCACAUGCGCACUGGUAUUGGGCUGUCCCUCACUGGCAAUAGUAGCAGAAGUUAAGCCCUGUCUGAAUGUUUCUUAUAACCAGAGCUUUCAGACAAAUGAACAUUACCCUUGUAUUACUUCAUGCUUUGAAAGGU